CUGCCAAUGGCUUGCCAUUGGCAACGGUGCUCUGUGUAUAGACAUCUGCAUGAAUAAGCGGAUGUUUAAGUUGUUUCCAUAUCUUGGCUAUGGUGAAUAAUGCCACAAUAAACAUGGGAGUGAAGAUAUCUCUUCAAGAUUCUGCAAGAUUCUCUUCCAGCUCAAGUGAGAUCGUUUGGAUGAAGUCCCUCCCCAAAAACCACUGGUUUGUCCAGUUCAUUGCAAAAGCUCAAGUUUACUUUUUUACUUGAUACAUUAUGAAGUUACUUUAAAGAAGAUUAAAAAAUAAAGCGAAGAUUGAUGCAAGUAAUGAUGAUUUUGUGACCAAGUAUUUUCUACAAAUGUUUCAUCAAGGAAUAAAACAAG
rnacentral:lncRNA from 1 species